UGGGGAAUAUUGGACAAUGGGGGCAACCCUGAUCCAGCGAUGCCGCGUGGGUGAAGAAGGCCUUCGGGUUGUAAAGCCCUUUAGGUUGGGAAGAAGGGGGUAGUUAACAGCUAUUCUUUGACGGUACCAACAGAAUAAGCACCGGCAAACUCUGUGCCAGCAGCCGCGGUAAUACAGAGGGUGCGAGCGUUAAUCGGAUUUACUGGGCGUAAAGGGCGCGUAGGCGGUUUAGUGAGUGUGGUGUGAAAGCCCCGGGCUUAACCUGGGAAGUGCAUCGCAAACGACUAAACUGGAGUAUAAGAGAGGGUGGCGGAAUUUCCGGUGUAGCGGUGAAAUGCGUAGAGAUCGGAAGGAACGUCAAUGGCGAAGGCAGCCACCUGGCUUAAUACUGACGCUGAGGCGCGAAAGCGUGGGGAUCAAACAGG
rnacentral:rRNA from 1 species